rnacentral:lncRNA from 1 species
ACUUAUGGUUUUGGUCUUAAGAUUUUUCUCAGAGGUGAAUAUUCUUGCCCCAGAGUUGAGAGACACUACAGCACAUCAAAGCCUCAAUAGGCAAGGGCUAAUUUAUGUGGUAAGAUCAGUUGGACUGGGGGACAAAUAAAAGAGACAUCAGCCCCUUUUAAUAGUAGCUGAAGAUAUACCAGAACUCAUCACAUGCUGCACAGCACAACAUUUCAAUAACAGUGAUUAAUGGGAUAGUUUCUGAGACUAUGCAUAUUCUUUUUCUAUCGCCAAUGCUUACUACACAAGCGCUAAUCAGAUGCAUAAACUCUAACCAGACAGAACUAAUGACUGCCCUGUCACUAGCAUUAAUAGAUGUGACAAAAAGCAGAAAUAAGCAGAAGAAUUAAAAGUGGACCAGUGUGGGCAAGACCAAAACCCUUCUGGAUGCCUUCAGCUUCAAAAAAUGCCCUCUUCACUACUUUGUGGUAUGUCAGUAUACUCUUCACAUUAACACCAGUGAAAAAAAGGUUAUUAUCAUUUUGUGUGAUAACUUGGUGCACUUUGUGUGCAUCCUCUUACCCUUAGGAUGGUCUGCAGAGCUAAGGUUUCAGACACUUCCCAAAAUAUAAAUUCUAACUCAUGCAGAAGGUAACACUAGUACUUUUCCAGACUGCAUAAGUGAUACAAAUAUUAAAUUGUCUGACCAUUCAAAAUAAUUAUACUUAAUUUCUUAACUAACAAUUUCUUUACCCAGAAAAACUUCCUCCUUCUUCCUUUCAUAACCAAGUGCAUAUCUUUUGCCUCCAUGCUAGUACAUAUGUUUACAUGCACAACUGAUAGAAAAGAAUCUAGGUGGAAUAGGUCUUUGUAGUUUACUGUUCUUGACUAAAACCAAGCAGGAAGUAAGCUGACAUGAAAAUGAUCUUUGGGCAAUUGGCCUUCCUCAACUUUCUUCUGGGAGUGCCACAAGUAAAAUUGUGCAUACUCCAAAGGAAGAAGCAAAGAUGGAUCAGAACUAUGUCUCCACUUAGCUUGUGAGUGGCUGCAUCAGUGUAUUGUACAAAGUGCUUUUUCAUUUUAGUGCCUUUGAAGCACAUCUUCAGACUAUGACUGAUGGAGAAACAGGGCUCCUGCCUGCUUCUUUGUCAUCAGUAUUAUUUCUUAGUCCCUGAAAUGCCUAUCUAUUCAUUUUGAGUAGGCUUCAUACAAGAAAACUGGGCUAAGAUUUGGACUUCUGUCUUUAAAACUAAAGAAUCUGACCAACAAAAUGUAUGUACUCAAGCUGGGCUAAUAAUUUAUAACCACUAAAAAAUAUUACAAUUUGUAAUUACAAUUGCAAAGCAACUGCAAUAAUUUCCUUUUAUUUUUUUUUUUUUUUUUUUUUUUUUUUCCAAAUGGAACAGCAAGGACUUUCUCAUGUCAGAGGAAUCAGUGAAAAUGAAAUAUCUAAGCCAAGGUGAAGUCUGAAAUUACAUCUGAAAAGCAAACCCACAGGAAGCUUAUGCCUCCCUCAUAUUUCAUCUUGUUCUGUUACCCCAACCGAUUUAGGUUUAGACUGGAUAUCUCUCCACUAAAAUACUUGUCCUGUAUGAAUGUAAAUUAAUAACAAACACCAGAGAAUAAAGAAGUAUGAUUUCACUUUCAAACCUGAGUUAAAAUACCAAGAUUAAAAAAAAAAAAAAGAUCACCUAGCAAGCAGAAAGUAUAUUAUGUAAAAUUAUGAAUAUUAUGCAAUCUAGGAAAAACAAAGAUUUGAAAUGGUUUCGUAUGGAGUGAAAUCAAAUGACUGACAAUUGUUUGAAACACUAGUACCACGUUGUAUUUAUUAUGUAUUUCCUGGGAGAAAAACUUAUCCUGAUAUUUUUCAGUGUUUGCUGCAAAAAACUUAAGAAUCAUGACA